GGUGGGGCCGCCGAGUGGGUUGAGCUUUACAGUGGUGGCGGGCAGCCUGCGGUGCGCACGGCCACAGGGUGUGUGAGAGGAUGCGAGGUUGGCGGAGAAGGAAGAGUUGUGUGUCUGAGGAUCGUGUGGAGUUGCGAGUUGGUGAGUGCUCUUUUGAGAAAUUUGCUGCUAUUCAGUAAAUGAUCCUCAUGUGAUGGACGAGGAAACUGAGGACAAGAGAAGGUGACACUGAGGAAUUCCAUGUCCGAUCUCUUCCUGAAACCUGGAGCAGAUGGUACUAAGUCACUCCAUUGUUAAUAAUUUCUUUGAGAGGAGUCUCAUUUUUGGCAUCUGCAGCAUAAUAGCUUCUUCACGUAAUUAGUGGACCAAUAAGAGGCAAAAUGAUUAAAUGACAAAUUAACCAACUCCCAGCAAGACUCUGUUCUGUUUUUUUCUCUUUACUUACUUUUGAAAAAAAUAAAUAAAAACAAAAAAACAGGAAAACCCCACAACUCUUCCUCCGGAUAGCUUUAAAGGGAUUCUGUCUCCACAAGAAGAUUUGCUGAUGUUGUGAACAAGUGAGAAAGCCCUGGAAAGAUGUUAGCAUUAUUUCCCAUUUUGAUCUGCUCCCAAAGGUCAUCAAAGUAGAUUUGACUUAAACAGUGUCCUCAGCCUACCCAAGGCAAGCCAUGCUUUGUUCUAAACCUGAAAUUUUAUUUUCUUACAGGCAGUAUCUAUUACCCAACAAAUGGAGAGACAUUGUUCUAGAAUUUCUCUUAGAUUUGGUUGUUAUUUGCUUGGGUUUUUGUUUGUUCUGUUUCUCUCACCUUUAAGUCCCCUGUUUCUAGUCUAGUGUUCUUUUUUGGUUUGUCUAAUCUGUGUUUCCUGUUUUGCUUUCAAUGUAUAUUUAGUGUUAUUAGCUAAGCUGUUUCCCAUUUUGAGAUUUUUGUUUUCUUACCAAUCAAACAAGAAAAUAAAAAUGGUUACUGAAACUGGAAAAAAAAACUAAUGUGCAAGGAAGGGAGAUGGAUCAGUGAAUAAAUGGCUUGCUGCUGUA
rnacentral:lncRNA from 1 species